rnacentral:rRNA from 1 species
GACGAACGCUGGCGGCGUGCCUAAUACAUGCAAGUAGAGCGCACAGUUUAUACCGUAGCUUGCUACACCAUAGACUGUGAGUUGCGAACGGGUGAGUAACGCGUAGGUAACCUGCCUGGUAGCGGGGGAUAACUAUUGGAAACGAUAGCUAAUACCGCAUAAUAUUAAUUAUUGCAUGAUAAUUAAUUGAAAGGUGCAAUUGCACCACUACCAGAUGGACCUGCGUUGUAUUAGCUAGUAGGUGAGGUAACGGCUCACCUAGGCGACGAUACAUAGCCGACCUGAGAGGGUGAUCGGCCACACUGGGACUGAGACACGGCCCAGACUCCUACGGGAGGCAGCAGUAGGGAAUCUUCGGCAAUGGACGAAAGUCUGACCGAGCAACGCCGCGUGAGUGAAGAAGGUUUUCGGAUCGUAAAGCUCUGUUGUAAGAGAAGAACGGGUGUGAGAGUGGAAAGUUUACACUGUGACGGUAUCUUACCAGAAAGGGACGGCUAACUACGUG